GGCGGAACUGACCAGGGCGUUUCUUUCCUGGGCGUCAGUGACGUCCUCCCACAUUAUGGGCGGAAAUGCAUGCUGGUAGCUUAGAAAGUGCUGGUUCGCCAAGGAAAAGAACGCUUUCUCGGGGAGUGAGCGAGGAUGAGUCACUUCGCAACAUCAUCAAGGAGACUGAGAGUCCGGCCAGGCGCCUGACACGCAGUGACAGCAGAGGAGGGAACUUUAAGUGGAGAAGUGGCAGUCAGCAGUCUGACGAGGAUCAAGAACUGAUCAUGGAACUCCCUGAAAUGUUUGAUCUGCAAGCGAGUUAUGACGAUGUAGUGCAGGAGCUGCGUGGGCUGGAGCUGCAGCGAGAGACUCUGUUGUUCCAGGUGGACGUUCUGCAGGACGCCCUGGAGGGGGCUGAGGAGAUGCUGGCCGAGGCCCAGAGAGAGGCCAGCCACACCACCAUGGAGUUGGAGCGAGAGAGGGAGUCCAAGAGGAAGUUGGAAGACAUGGUCAGCUCUCUGUUGCAGGCGGUGGAGAGGUUAGAAGAGGAGAAGAAUACCAAACCAGCAGUGCACAUGCUCGUCAGGGAGCAGGAGAUGGCUGGACAACAAGCACAAGAGAUGGACAUCAAAAAGGAAGGACCGGAUCAAAUCGGGAAUGCACCCAGGGAUGAGGGCAGCGAGAGCCCCAGUCCGAAUAACCGGCUGUCAUUACAGAAGGCCAAUGGGGAGCAGCCGUUGGACAGUCUGUCCCAGCCCCCCCUUCUCAAGAAAGCUGUGUCGGGGUCCUCUGUGGACUCUGAGUAUGUAGAGAAAAGGGCAGAUGACAGCUUCAAAUUAAAUAAUAUGACCAAUACGUUUACUGGGCCACUGGUGCUGGAAAGCCAAAGCCAUUGGGACAGCCAGGCAGAGGAUGGGCGUGACCGGUCUCCUGACAGGAACAACGACACAGAUAGCAUCAGCGCAUACGAAGACGCCUGUGCCGAAACACCCGAGCUGGAUGAGGGCGAUGGGCCAAGGCUGCCCCAUGAUGAAGGCUCCCCAGUGGAUGACAUUGAGGGGGAACUUAUCUUAAAUGGCAGUGAGCCCAAAAACCCCAAUGAUUCUUGCGUUCUGUCGUAAGAGUUACAGAAGUGUCAUGGCACGAAGGGUGACAUCUGCUCUGAGAUCACUGCUCUUACUUUCUUUCCCUUGAUAAUAUAAUGCCAUUCAGCAGAUGCCAUUUAAAGUAAUGGGUGCAUAUAUAUUUUUUACGUUUUAGAAAGUAGUUAAAUACAAUAUUUUCCUGGACCAGGGCUCUCAUACAGUACAAUCCAUCUACACCUAUGUAAGUGUAGAGUAAACACAGAGUUAUCUGAAUACAAUCAGGUAGGGUGGCAUUUCAAUAAUGUUUACAGAUGCCUAUAAAAUCAAUCUCUCUCCCUCGGCAUGUUUGGGAUGACGUGCAAGUCAUAGUUUUCCCGCUGUUUGGUUUUCCACCUCCCUUGGUUACUUAGUGGCUGAUAAUUCAUAACUCUAGGGUUUGCACACACUGAACAAUUGUGUGUUUUAGGAAAGACAGAAGACCUCUAGCAUUCUAAACGGGUGUAUUAUGUAAUUUGUAGAUAACAACAUAUUUUAGUGUUUUCAGUCGGUUAAGGCCCUAUUCAAAGAUGUUUGUUCCACAUCAAAACUAGGAUUCCAACAUCCAUCAUCGCAGAUUGUUCUGAAAUUGGUUCUGUUAUUAAACAUAUUAGUAAAAAAUCAAAUUUCAUCCCUGAAAAACAGUUACAUUCAAAUUGACCAUUUGUCUUACUGAAAUGGAAUGACUGCUGAUCUAGGACCAGGACCUCAUCUGUCCAUGUAAUCUUAUAAAUCAUGUUUAGAAAGGCCAAAUAUUCUCAGCAAUAGAACCAUGCUUACAUAUAAGUAGUUGUCACAAAGUGCUUAAACAGAUAUCCAGCCUAAGAUCAGAACAAGCAAAGCAGAUUUUGAAGCAUAGUGCAGAUUUUGAAUAAUUUAGGCCUAGAUUAACAACUAGGUAGACUGUGGAAAGGGACAGCAAGGAGUUGUCAGGCCAGGAAUGGUCCAGGACUCUCCUUGGUUGAGUGAGUUUGGGCCAUGAACAGAACACUAACUAACCUGAGACAAGGCUGAGUAUAGCCCACAAAGUACUCCCAGAACACAAUGCCAUUUAGUAUAAUGAAAUUACCCUGGCAUGUUGUGAUGCACCCUCUUAGGGACAGCAUGUGAAAGUGCAAUUAAGCCAGUGACUCAGACUUGUUUAUAAGUGGAGAGAGAGGCUGGUCAUGCAGGGUCGUCCGUUUAAUGAUUUGCAAGUUAUACUUAAAUCAGCCCUAGCCUAACAGGCAGUCAAUGUUCAGAGGCUAGUACUGCAGUGAUAGGAUUUAUUUUUGGGGGGAGUUCUGGUCAAGAGUUCUGGUUAUUUAAUCAGCCUUGUUGAAGCUCUAGUUGAAGAUUUAUUUAGUUGAUAAUUAGCCUGAAAAAAGAUUACUCAAUCUUUUAUCGUUUUCCAAUCUAAAGAUUUGCCUUUUUGCAGAUGUUACUAAGCUAAACUAAAAAAAGCUGUUAUUGAAGUAUUGGUUUGCAUGUUUGUCAAAAUAGAGACCAGUUCAGAGUAACGGUUUGGUACUUCAGGUUUGUUUGAGAUUAUUUUAAAACCAUCAACAUUCAGUGUCAGUCCUUGGAACUAAGAACUAGUUUCUCUGUUUUAUUCUUGUUUAAAACUAGAUUCUACCAUUUACAUUUAUAUCUAAAGCACAGGCUUCCAAUUUAGUUAGUUGUCUGCCUGGUUAUGUUUCAUUGAAAUGGACAGCCUUGUAUGGUCUGUACAGCAGUGAAGAUUGAGUGUUUCUGAAUGACGCCAAAAUAUACGAUGUAGCAAAAGUUGCCCUGAAACAGAACUUUGACAUUUACCUUUUUAUUUGAAGGACAGACCAACCACCAGGGUAACUGAUAUAUUUCAAAAACAUACAAUCUGAACUGGGCUAAAUGUUAUCCAUGUAAACAUUUACCCAGUCUCUACAAAUGAAUGUUGUGAUCGAUUUUUGUUGAAGGUGGCAGGUCAAGAAAGAGGACCAGUUAUUAAGAAUCAUGAUUUAACACUACUGAAAUGUAAUUAACCACCUUUAGGAUUGCAAUCAGACUGUUUUACAUAUAUUGUUUGUGUUUAGGAAUGCAUGAGUUGCCAGGGGUGAGUUAUAACAUGUUACAUGUAAUGUGAUAUAGGUAAUUAAGUAAUUUUCAGGAAUAAGUAAGUUUAUUCCUGGGGUUUAUUGUCUAACUGUGGACAUGUAUUUCUAAAUGUGAGUACAUUUCAGUUCAUGUAACAGUGCUUUAGUACAGAUUUUCAGUACUCUAACCACCCCUGUGAGUUGCUGUGGAAUGGCUUUAUAAAAGCAAACUACUAGUAACUCAGAGGAAUGGAAGAUUCAAUAUACUGUUGUUCAUCAGUUUAUUUUUUAAAAGGUUCUGCGUAAAGGUUUGUCUUUUUUAGAUGAAGCUUUAUUACUGCCUCUGUCGGUGUAUUUGGUACACAUCCAGAGGAUAUGGUUGUACAUAGGAAGGCCAAGCACAGGAAGUCGCUCAUUUAGUUGGAAUAAGGUGCAGUAGAGAGCUGGAAGUUUUGGAGGCCUUAACAUUUUCUCAAUGUUGAGGGAUACGAGAAAAAACAAUACUUGAGUGUCUCUAUUGUUACAAGGUCCUAGCAGUUCACUGCGGACUCAGGACAAACACAUUUUAGAAAAAAUCUCUAUUUAGGGAGAAGUCUUAGUUAUGUUUAUAAUGAUCAUUCUUUUUUAUUCAAAAAGGUUCAUGGCUUUGUCCCUGAUAAUGUAAUUGAUGUUUUAAAUUUGCAGCUGCAUCAAAACACUUUCAUAUAUUUUUAUUAUUUUCAGUCAAGCAGGAAUAAGUUUUCUUUUAUUUUACACAGUACUUUCCUGUAGUUAGAGGACUUAUUUUUGUGGAUCAUUCCAAUUUUCUGCUUCAGGUUUUGAUUAAAUUCUGCAUACAGGGAGCUAGUUUCUUGUGGCAGAAAAUAUUUUCUACAUUGUAAUCUCAGAAAAUGUCCAUAAUAAACCUGCACUAAUAGUGGAAUGAUACUGUUCCACAACAUUUGCUCACUGAAAAUGAUGUGGGUUAAUAGAAAAGCACAUUCCAAAAUACUGAAUUUUUAUUGGUCAAAGUGACAACCCCUCUCUUCCAUCACUAAGACACACUAGCAACCAGCGAACGCAGAAGUCAGCAAGCAAAAUCUGUCAUUUCUGGGUUGCUAACAUUCUACACAGGUCACUCAAUUUCUCUUCAAGUAAGAAAGCAAUCACUGAAUAUUGUAGGAAAUCGUUAUUACACCCAAAUUGCUUUUUACAUUUUUGAAAUAUUCAACAAUGUAGUUUUUACAACUUUUGUAAGCUGGUUGACCAAAAGUGAAUUUCUAUUUUUUAUUUGGUGUAAUUCAGUUGAUUCCCACAAGGUGGAAGCAAAUUAGGGAUAUUACCUUUAAUGUUGCAGAAAUCCCCAGUAGUGGGUGCUGUGGAACAAUUUUCCAGUAUGUAUUUUGCUUGGUUAUGCCUGGAUGGUAAAGUAUAAUCUAGCUCUUCCCUUCACGGUCAGGUAUUGAUCUACUUCAUCACAUGGCUAUCACCAGUUAGUGUGUGUGUGUGUGUGUGUGUGUGUGUGAAUGAUGUUGUCUCUGUAUAUUAACUCAUGGGCUGUGUUGUUCUACUCUAACUGUGAGUUGUGUAACAGACACGCAGAGCUGAGUUACAUUUCUUUCAGUUUAUAUCCUCAGUGAGGUUUAACAGGUUUUCUAUUAUUCUAACGUCCCUAGCUAGAGGGAGUCUGGAGACCUUUAUGCGUUUGUGUUGUCAAGAAAUGUACAGACUUUUAGAAGUCUUAGUUUAAGGUCAAAGUGAUGUUGUGGUUUCUGGAAGUGUAAUAAUUGAUAGUCCAGUAGCCCAGAUACAGGUGGAAAAAACUACAAAACCCAGUGAGUUGAUAAUGACUCUAAAGACCUUUCGAUGUAGUCCGUGAGGAACGCUGUAUUCUGCUCGGGAAGCUUGUAAACAUUAGCUAUAAAUAGUGAUUGAGUAGGAUGUACAGAUUUCAUGACCAAAUUCAAAUACUGCACACUGAAGAAAAAGCUGCAAAGCUGAGAAAUCUGUGUAUGGUAUCCUAAUGCGUAGGUCUGCAAAAUAAUUCCUAUCCGUUUUGUUUUUAGCUCAUUUAAAUGUGAUGCAUUUUAGCGCCACCUCUGCAGAAUGCACAGCUCCACGGAGGAUAUGAUCACUAGCUUCACCAGCAAGACAGGCCAUACAUCAGGUUCAUGAUCAAUGAUUAGUCGACAGUAAAUGCCUUCAACCAAGGGAGCUAACAUUAAGUAGUCUCGACGUGAGAUGUGAGGUAUUAUCACAACCUGUUAAUUAAUGACAGAAAUCGGGGAAGUCUUGUAUUCAUGUACAAUUACUGAGGCCACCACCGUGUUUAGUUGUAAUCAAACUUGCUCGAAGCACAGACAACCUGCUAUCUGGGCAAGAGGAGGUAACUGUUGUCUAUGGCUGGAUUGUAGGAGAGGCCAGUUAUCUGCCUAUGCUAUGUUCACAGAAGGGUAGACAUCUGUUUGCAAUAAGCAAUGGAGUUGUGUGGGUCAGCUUUAUAUCACCGACCCUCCUACUCUGAGAUGCUUUAUGUACACUGUCCCAGAUACAGGCAAGACUGUAAUCACAUCAGGCAGACAAAGCCAGCUACUAAAGCUACAGGGAAUGUUCUUAGGGAGUUCUUUUGAUUUAUGGAUAUAAAACCACGUUUGUUUUUUUUACUGUCUCACAGGCCGUCACAGGGACAUUUCUUUUGAUAUACAAGAAGGACAUGGUGCCUUUCAUGCUGAAUUUACUGAAUUUAAUCAAGCUUUAAAUAUUAUAACAUGUCUAUUGUUUGAAGUUGAACAUAGUAUAAUACUAAGUGAAAUUGCGUUUCAUUUAAUAAUACAAAUGUAAUGAACCUGAGUAUACUUUCUAUGUACAGUAACAGUACUGCAUGCUAGUAGUCCUUGUAAGUAUAGGUCAUGUUUGCACAACUGUAGUGAAACUACAGAAUUGGGGAAUACCUUACAUGUUAUUCUUUUGUUUUUGACAUUGCUGAGCAAUGUUUGCUUUGUUUUUGUUCUGUCUCCACGCCUUAACUUUAACACAAGAUCAUCAUUUGAAGAGUUACAAACAUUGCUGCCCUUUAACCUGUUUAGAGGAUUUUGGCUGCAGCCCAAAUGGUGCCCUAUUUUUUUUGUAGUAAAUUACUAUUGACCAGGGCCCAUAGCGCUCUAGUCAAAAGUGGUGCCUUAUGAAGGGAGUGGAGUGCCAUUUGGUUUGUGCAUACAGUAACAUUCCUGUACUAUACAUGUUUGAAGAUGGAGAGGUCAAAUGUAUUUGAUGUUUUUUAAUCCUCCUUUUUUUUUAAGUUUCCAGUGCUUCUGUUUCUAAGACUUUCUCUUUUCUUAUUGAAAAGUACACCGUGCUGCUGCAUGUGUUUUAUGAAUUUGGUUGCAAAUCGUACACUGUGUCCACUUUUUGUAAUGUUGGGGAUUUCUGUGUCAAGUCAGAAUGGAGUUCUUACUUUGACACUGUGAAUAGGUUUUUUCUCAUUGUCUUUAUUGCUUGAAUUUCUGUUUCUGCAGGAGAUAUGAACUCUACUUGUAACGUUUCUAAAGGUUUUCUAAUUGUAAGGUUUCUCUACUUGUAAGGUUUCUACAGUUUUUGCAAUAGUGUUCUGGUUAUAAUGAUGAACGGUUAUGUGUCAUAUUGUUAAAGCUCCUCAAUUUCACAAUUUAUCUAGGAACAAUAAGAUAUUUUCUGAAAACAAUAAAUAUCUAUCUUUGAUACAAAAUCUAAGUAGUUGUUAUUCCUGCAGGGUCUCGGCACAGUGGUGUCCAAUAGCAUGCUGAAGUAGGUUUCCACAACUAGUUUGUGGUUUGUACUUGCAAACAGGAUUUGCUGCAUCAUUUGACAUGCUUUAAAAUGUGUUAUAUAUUUAUAUAUAAUUCCUGAGUGAUAAUGCUUAUGCUUAUCAAUGUUUUCACCAAAUGUUUUAAAAACACAUUUUAUGUAUUUG
ensembl:lncRNA